AUACGGAGGGUGCGAGCGUUGUUCGGAAUUACUGGGCGUAAAGGGCGCGCAGGCGGCUUGAUAAGUCAGAUGUGAAAGCCCACGGCUCAACCGUGGAAGUGCAUCUGAAACUGUCUGGUUUGAGUACUGGAGAGGAAAGUGGAAUUCCUGGUGUAGAGGUGAAAUUCGUAGAUAUCAGGAGGAACACCGGUGGCGAAGGCGACUUUCUGGACAGAUACUGACGCUGAGGCGCGAAAGCGUGGGGAGCAAACAGGAUUAGAAACCCCAGUAGUCC
rnacentral:rRNA from 1 species